rnacentral:RNase_P_RNA from 1 species
AUGGGCGGCCGGAUGACCGCGGGGAGCCCCGGCUCCACGAGGAAAGUCCGGACUCCACCAGGCACGGUGCCGGGUAACGCCCGGCCGGGGCAACCCGAGGGAAAGCGCCACAGAGAACAGACCGCCUGCCGGACGCCCUUCGGGGGCCGGCGGCAAGGGUGAAACGGUGGGGCAAGAGCCCACCGCGGGACGGGCAACCGGACCGGCACGGCAAGCCCCACCGGGAGCAAUGCCAGAUAGGGAUCCUGCGCCGGAAACGGCAGGGCGGCCUGGGCCCGAGGGAUCCGGGUAGGCAGCUGGAGCCUCCGGGCGACCGGAGGCCGAGAGGAAUGGUCAUCCCGGGGGGAGACCCCCGGACAGGAUCCGGCUUACAGGCCGCCCAUGCCG